rnacentral:lncRNA from 1 species
AUUGCAGAUGAUGUGUCCAUGGCGAUGGAUCAUGACUACUGUUCACCCCUCGGCCCUUGAUAUGUCACUGGGGCAAAACGAAGACCAUCGCAAGGAGAUACAGCGACUAGGGAGGCAGGUGGAAAAGUUGUCUGUCAGCAAGCAUUUCUGUUUGGAGAGAUUUGCAGCCUCCUCCGACGACAUACAGUUCAACAUAAGGUUUGCAACUCAUGCCCACCUGAUGGCCUUCACGAAGCUCAUCAAACCUGACACACACAAGGUGAUUAGUGUAACGAGAGCAAGAGCAGUGUCAAAGAAUAACAACGAGGUCAUGUUCCCAAGCAAUGCAAAGUCAGUCUUGCAGCCCAUAGAUUAAUUCUUCCUCUUCAUGAUCCACCUCUCUGUGGGAUGGAAGCAAAGGAAUUUGACACGCAGGUUUAAUAUCAGCCUGUCCACUGUGAGUCGGAUCGUCUUUCUCUACGCUUUGCUUGGUGUCAAGUGUCUCUGGAUGUUAGAGGAAGAACUGAGGAGUUCAAGGAGGGCUAUUUAAAUUGUCAUCGACUGCACAGAGUUGCGCUGCAAGACACCAUAAUCUCUGCUUCUACAAAGUGAGGUCUUCUCCACGUACAAGUCUCACUCCACCUUCAAAGGCAUGAUUGGGAUGGCACUAAAUUAUGCAAUCACAUUUGUGUCUUCUCAGUUUGCUGGCUCGAUCAGCAGCAAAGAGCUGCUGAAGUAGUCCAGCAGUGUGCCUUUUCUCACACCGAGGAC